rnacentral:lncRNA from 1 species
AUACAAAUUUUGAAUUAGCGUCGCUACAGUAAUUCCAACAGAAAGAGCAUCUUAUUCCGCGCGUCUUCCACCUCCGCCUGCACCCCCGACCUCGACCUCCGCCUUCACCCCCGCCCUCCACCNCCCCGCCCUCCACCUCCGCCUCCACCCCCGCCCUCCACCAUCGGCCUCCACCUCUGCCUCCACCCCGCCAUCCACCUCCGGCCUUCACCUCCACCUCCACCCCGCCCUCCACCUCCGCCUCCACCCCCGCCCUCCACCUUUGCCCUCCAUCCUCGCCCAGGCGCUCCUCCUCCUGGUCCGCGUGUGCCCGCUGGUGGAGGCGCGUGCUCUGCUUCCAGACUGGUGGAGGCGAGCCGCUGCUGGUGAUCUUUUGCUGCUAGUGUUUGGUGGAGGCGAGCUGCUGCUUGACCUUGGUGAUCUUGGUGACGCUGGUGGAGGCUUGACCUUGGUGACAGAUUGUCUAAGCCUUGACAGAUUCUGCUGCUGUUAGUGUCUGGUGGAGGCGAGCUGCUGCUGGUGAUCUGCUGCCACCUGCUGGUGAUCUUCUGCUGCUGGUGCUAUUGAUCUGCUGCUGCUGGUGGUGGAGGCGAGUUGUUGCUGCGUGUUGGUGAUCUGCUGCUGAAGUAUUCACCUGAACUUUUAUGAACUUUGCAUCAAAUUGAUGACUGCAUCUGCUUGACCUGUACAGUGUAGCACUAGAAAUUUUGUCACCAAUGACUAAAGGAGGAAGCACAGAAAAGGAAAACAUUAAAUAUCAAGAGUCCAGAAAUAUGAGCAGAUUAGUUCUACUAAGGUUUCAAGAUAUUGCAACCUUUAUGUUUCANNNNN